rnacentral:rRNA from 1 species
UAAGGAAUAUUGCUCAAUGGGAGAAAUCCUGAAGCAGCAACGCCGCGUGGAGGAUGAAGGGUCUAUGACUUGUAAACUCCUGUAAAGAAGGAAAAAAUUCCCAUUUGAUGGGAGAUGAUGGUACUUCUGGAGUAAGCCCCGGCUAACUACGUGCCAGCAGCCGCGGUAAUACGUAGGGGGCAAGCGUUGUCCGGAUUUACUGGGUGUAAAGGGUGCUCAGGCGGAUUUGUAAGUCAGAGGUGAAAUCUUACAGCUUAACUGUGAAACUGCCUUUGAUACUGCAAGCCUAGAGUAUGGAAGAGAGUGAUGGAAUAUCUGGUGUAGCAGUGAAAUGCGUAGAUAUCAGAUAGAACACCAAUGGCGAAGGCAGUCACUUGGUCCAUUACUGACGCUAAAGCACGAAAGCGUGGGUGGCAAACA